AUUGAACGCUAGCGGCAUGCUUAACACAUGCAAGUCGAACGGUAACAGACCGCUGUGAUCCCUUCGGGGUGAACUUGGUGCUGACGAGUGGCGGACGGGUGAGUAAUACAUAGGAAUCUACCCAGUAGCGGGGGAUAACGUGUGGAAACGCACGCUAAUACCGCAUACGCCCUACGGGGGAAAGCGGGGGACCUUCGGGCCUCGUGCUAUCGGAUGAGCCUAUGUCUGAUUAGCUUGUUGGUGAGGUAAAGGCUCACCAAGGCGACGAUCAGUAGCUGGUUUGAGAGAAUGAUCAGCCACACUGGGACUGAGACACGGCCCAGACUCCUACGGGAGGCAGCAGUGGGGAAUAUUGGACAAUGGGCGCAAGCCU
rnacentral:rRNA from 1 species